rnacentral:sRNA from 1 species
AGUGAGUUAAAGCUAGAAGAUGGGAGAGAGGGUGGGUAAUUGUUAUACAGACUCGUCCCCCCCUGGCUCUCUGUUGGGACACUGGGAGCAUUCGGUGGACACACACUGGGCUGGGAUAGAAGGUUGAUUGGUCCGUGCGAGGACACUAUAUUUGUCUCCAGUGGAGUGUGUUUAGAUGAAUUCACUGAGUCACUGUUUUCAAGAACCAAUCCAUGUGAAGCCAUAGAGCUCUUGGUCACUGUCAUCCACACGAAGCAACCCCUGACUCUGGACAGAAGUUGUAGCCGUCUCCAGAUCAGCACUCUGGUUACUGUGAGAUGACUCACUGGCAAACCCAGAUCUGGAUUUUGCCUUCCUGUGUAGAGAUAGUCUCCGGACUUUACCAUGAUCUUGGAAUGAGAGUUCUGUGCUUUUCCUCUUUUUCUCCCGUGGUAGGUUAGUUGGUAUGUUUGACAGUCUUGACGACUCCUCUAAGUAUUCAGUGACAGGAUCUGGACAAACUAAAAAAUUAAUGACAUCUUUAAUUUCCAUUCUGUAUAAAUGCGUAACAUAAGAAAUACCAAAUAUCUGACGCUACCACAUAAAUCAAUGGACACACAAGAAAACUCAUUCACCUGCUCAUUACUUUAGCAAGGAAAGAAACAUCAUUACGUUCUGAACCAGUACACCAAAAAUGAUAAUGUGCACUUAACACUUAAUAAUAGAAUAAACAAUGUCAAAUUCCAUAUCACUGUUGUUUAACCAUCUCUUAUUAUAAAUGAUUUACCUGG